UCUUCGAGUCGUUUCGUUGCGCACUGC
rnacentral:piRNA from 1 species